rnacentral:lncRNA from 1 species
GUUGCAAAGGAGCGGAACUGAGCUGAUUUCUAGGCUGUUGGGCACGACUAAAUAAUAUGGCAGAUGAGUCGAUCAUUUCAUAGAUGCAGAAGGGAGACAAAUGUUAUUGAAGAAUAAAACGGAUCAAAUCAACAAAUUUGAUGACAGUCUUAUGCCGGAUCCCUAUGGAUGGAACCUUUAAUCAAAUAGCACUUUUAGGCGGGC